rnacentral:tRNA from 1 species
CCCGGUGGCGGAGUGGUUACGCAGCGGAUUGCAAAUCCGUGCACCACGGUUCGAUUCCGGGCGCGGAU